GAUCUAAUUUUUCAUCAGUUUUGCAAUCAAAGUUUUUUCAAAGAAUUACGGUUUCACUGGUAACACCGCUCCAGUAAAUAGUAAAUAGGACGGGCCUUCGAUAGACCUGACACCGGGAGAUAUUUCCGCUCCGAGCCAGACGUUAGCCAGCUAACAUAAUGCUAGUAAGAGUUAAAGUCAGUUACGUGCACGGUUGAUCAGUAAAUAGAAUUUGGCAGUAUGUUGAACAAGACAAGCUAACGUUAUCUAUCCAGCCAUGUCAUUGUCCCCAGAUCAAUAUCAAGAAGACGCCAUGAGUAACGUUACUGUCGGCUGCAGCCUGAAGUAACUUUAGCAAGUUGAACAGAGAACGGGAUGUGCGAUGAUAGCUAGCUAAAUGUGAAACAAAUUCAAGGGGGCAUGGCAACUUACUUCUUGCAGCUUUUGUGUUAGCGCCAUCGUGUGGUGUUCAGAGAGGCACUGAAUGAUUAGCUAGCUACACUCCGUGUUGUAAAUAAAAUAUUCAGAUUAUUAUGUUAUUUUUUUCCUUUUAGUGUAGCGCAUUAAUUUGGAACGGUAAACAGUCCAGUUUCACCUGAACUAGCUACUUAGCUAGCUAACGCUACGUUAGUGUGUGGACACCCUGCAACCGAUUAGAACCAAGUAUUCACCCAGACCCUGCUAUAACAUUUAAUUUAACCAUGUGUAAGCUACAGAAUAUUCUUAAGAGGAUUGUGGAUAUAUCUCUAAGCAGCGUUCAACAGAUUCAGCUACAUCUGGAGCUGAAAGGGUGUCACAAUCUGGUUCAAGCACUCCUCAGGACAGGAAGACCGAUCUUACUACUGUGGGGGCUUGAACUCAUGCUCACUGUGCUGGACUGCUGUCCCAAGUGUACAAACCCUUCAUGCAAUGUCCUGAAGGAAAAAAUGGCAAAGAGAAGAAGGGCGCUGUGCAGCCUCUGGAAUUGACUGUGAAAUUAACGGGAUAACUGUUAUUCCAGCGCGCUGCACUAACCAGUGUGAAAAACAAAUAGUGACAGCGAUAACGAAGCAGACCCUCUCAUCUUGUCUCUGUGGGCCAACCCUCCAGCAGCUACUGUAUUUGUCACAAAGCAGAUGUUUCAGAGAACCAUGACCUCGAGUGUGGUUGCUGGGGAAUGGGAGCUUGGCGCCAGUUGUGAUUGGAAACCUGCAGAGCAGCAAGGGCAUGGUCAAGGGUUUUAAUGAAGAUUUUGAGGCUGGAGCUGAUGACGAGUCUAUUUCCCUGGACUUGAUUCAGCUGUUUCUCCAUCUGGCGUUUGAGCA